rnacentral:rRNA from 1 species
UGGGGAAUAUUGCGCAAUGGGGGGAACCCUGACGCAGCAACGCCGCGUGAGCGAAGAAGGCCUUCGGGUCGUAAAGCUCUGUCAAGGGGGACGAAGUCUACUGGGUGAAUAGCCUGGUAGGUGACGGUACCUUUGGAGGAAGCCCCGGCUAACUACGUGCCAGCAGCCGCGGUAAAACGUAGGGGGCGAGCGUUGUCCGGAAUUACUGGGCGUAAAGGGCGUGUAGGCGGCUAGGUAAGUCAGGUGUGAAAACUCUGGGCUUAACCGAGAGAUUGCACCUGAAACUGCGUAGCUUGAGGGUAGGAGAGGAAAGUGGAAUUCCUAGUGUAGCGGUGAAAUGCGUAGAUAUUAGGAGGAACACCAGUGGCGAAGGCGACUUUCUGGCCUAACCCUGACGCUGAGGCGCGAAAGCGUGGGGAGCAAACAGG